rnacentral:rRNA from 1 species
GACGAACGCUGGCGGCGUGCUUAACACAUGCAAGUCGAACGGAAAGGCCCUGCUGUUGUGGGGUUCUCGAGUGGCGAACGGGUGAGUAACACGUGAGUAACCUGCCCUUGACUUUGGGAUAACUUCAGGAAACUGGGGCUAAUACCGGAUAGGAGCUCCUGCUGCACGGUGGGGGGUGGAAAGUUUCGGCGGUUGGGGAUGGACGCGCGGCUUAUCAGCGUGAUGGUGGGGUAGUGGCUUACCACGUCUUUGACGGGUAGCCGGCAUGGGAGGGGGACCGGCGUCAUGGGGCCUACGAGACGGAGCAGACUGCAACGGGAGGCAGCAGUGGGGAGUAUGGCGCAGUGGGGGGAAGCGUGUUGCGGAAGCGUUGGGUGCGUAAUGACGGCCUUGGGGUUGUGAACCGCUUUCGCCUGUGACGAAGCGUGAGUGACGUUAAUGGGUGAAGAAGCACCGGCUAACUACGUG